CAGCGCCACGAGUGGCAAUCACGAUUAUUGGGCCUAAAGCGUCCGUAGCCGGUUCGGUAAAUCCUUUGUGAAAUCGCCAGGCUUAACCUGGCGGCGUGCAGGGGACACUGCCGAACUCGAGACCGGGAGGAGUUAGAAGUAUUUCUGGGGGAGCGGUAAAAUGCUAUAAUCCCAGAAAGACUACCUAUGGCGAAGGCAUCUAACUAGAACGGAUCUGACGGUGAGGGACGAAAGCCAGGGGAGCGAACCGGAUUAGAUACCCGAGUAGUCC
rnacentral:rRNA from 1 species